GACGAACGCUGGCGGCGUGCUUAACACAUGCAAGUCGAACGGAAAGGCCCUGCUUUUGUGGGGUGCUCGAGUGGCGAACGGGUGAGUAACACGUGAGUAACCUGCCCUUGACUUUGGGAUAACUUCAGGAAACUGGUGCUAAUACCGGAUAGGAGCUCCUGCUGCAUGGUGGGGGUUGGAAAGUUUCGGCGGUUGGGGAUGGACUCGCGGCUUAUCAGCUUGUUGGUGGGGUAGUGGCUUACCAAGGCUUUGACGGGUAGCCGGCCUGGGAGGGUGACCGGCCACAUUGGGACUGAGAUACGGCCCAGACUCCUACGGGAGGCAGCAGUGGGGAAUAUUGCACAAUGGGCGGAAGCCUGAUGCAGCAACGCCGCGUGCGGGAUGACGGCCUUCGGGUUGUAAACCGCUUUCGCCUGUGACGAAGCGUGAGUGACGGUAAUGGGUAAAGAAGCACCGGCUAACUACG
rnacentral:rRNA from 1 species